CUGCCUUUAAAAUAUGUUGACUUCCAGUGGCUGUGAAUAGCAACCUCCUCAGUAGAGUACACAGUCUGCUGUUUAUACAGGUUGCCCUUAUGGACCCUGAUGAUAGCC
ensembl:snoRNA SNORA70 Small nucleolar RNA SNORA70